CAUACGAUGUUGAAACACCGGUUCCCGUACGUAUCACCGAAGUUAAGCAACGUCGAGUCUGGUCAGUACCUAGAUGAGUGACCAUUUGAGAAUAUUAGAUGCUGUAA